rnacentral:misc_RNA from 1 species
GAUGAAGAACGCAGCGAAAUGCGAUAAGUAAUGUGAAUUGCAGAAUUCAGUGAAUCAUCGAAUCUUUGAACGCACCUUGCGCCCUUUGGCUAUUCCGAAGGGCAUGCCUGUUUGAGUAUCAUGAACACCUCAACUCUCAUGGCUUGCCAUGAUGAGCUUGGACUUUUGGGGGUCUUGCUGGCCUGUGGUCAGCUCCUCUCAAAUGAAUUAGCCUGCCAGUGUUUGGUGGCAUCACAGGUGUGAUAACUAUCUACGCUUGUGGUUUUCCACCAGGUAACCUUCAGUGAUGAAGGUUCGCUGGGGCUCAUAAACGUCUCUCCUCAGUGAGGACAGCUCUUUGAACGUUUGAUCUCAAAUCAGGUAGGACUACCCGCUGAACUUAAGCAUAUCAAUAAGCGGAGGAA